GGCAGCAGUAAGGAAUAUUGGACAAUGGCCGCAAGGCUGAUCCAGCCAUCCAGCGUGCAGGAAGAAGGCCCUAUGGGUUGUAAACUGCUUUUAUCAGGGAAGAAACCUGUGGAUUUACUCCGCAGCUGACGGUACCUGAAGGAUAAGCACCGGCUAACUCCGUGCCAGCAGCCGCGGUAAUACGGAGGGUGCGAGCGUUAUCCGGAAUUACUGGGUUUAAAGGGUGCGUAGGCGGCUAUGUAAGUCAGGAGUGAAAGUUUGCGGCUCAACCGUAAAAUUGCUUUUGAUACCGCAUGGCUGGAAUUAGGAUGAGGUCAGCGGAAUGUGGCAUGUAGCGGUGAAAUGCAUAGAUAUGCCAUAGAACACCAAUUGCGAAGGCAGCUGGCUAGACCUGGAUUGACGCUGAGGCACGAAAGCGUGGGGAGCGAACAGGAUUAGAUACCCUGGUAGUCCACGCCCUAAACGAUGCUUACUCGACGUAUGAAGCUUGUCUUUGUGCGUCCAAGGGAAACCGUUAAGUAAGCCACCUGGGGAGUACGACCGCAAGGUUGAAACUCAAAGGAAUUGACGG
rnacentral:rRNA from 1 species